CCUACGGUGGGCAGCAGUGGGGAAUUUUGGGCAAUGGAGGAAACUCUGACCCAGCAACGCCGCGUGAAUGAUGAAGGUCUGCGGAUUGUAACGUUCUUUUCUAAGGGAAGAGAAAAGUGACAGUACCUUAGGAAUAAGUCUCGGCUAACUACGUGCCAGCAGCCGCGGUAAUACGUAGGAGGCGAGCGUUAUCCGGAAUGACUGGGCGUAAAGGGUGCGUAGGUGGUUGGGCAAGUUAGUAGAGUAACUACAAGGCUCAACCUUGGAACUACUACUAAAACUGUUGGACUUGAGUGCAGGAGGGGCAACCGGAAUUCUUGGUGUAGCGGUGGAAUGCGUAGAUAUUAGGAAGAACACCAGUGGCGAAGGCGGGUUGCUAGACUGUAACUGACACUGAGGCACGAAAGCGUGGGGAGCAAACAGGAUUAGAUACCCCUGUAGUC
rnacentral:rRNA from 1 species